rnacentral:rRNA from 1 species
CUUUACUGUAGCUUUGUAUUGGACUUUGAACAGAUCUGUGUAGGAUAGGUGGGAGGCUUUGAAGCUAGAACGCUAGUUCUAGUGGAGCCGGCGUUGAAAUACCACCCUGGUGUGUUUGAGGUUCUAACCCAGAUCCCUUAUCGGGAUCGGGGACAGUGCAUGGUAGGCAGUUUGACUGGGGCGGUCUCCUCCCAAAGUGUAACGGAGGAGUUCGAAGGUACGCUAGGUACGGUCGGACAUCGUGCUCAUAGUGCAAUGGCAUAAGCGUGCUUAACUGCGAGACUGACAAGUCGAGCAGAUGCGAAAGCAGGACAUAGUGAUCCGGUGGUUCUGUAUGGAAGGGCCAUCGCUCAACGGAUAAAAGGUA